AUGCAGGUUAAACAAGAUAUUAAGAGAAUCUUUCCAGCUCCAGACAUUGACAGUUCUUUCGUCCAUUUAGGCCAUCCACUUGUUUUACCUUCUAAAGAUAGAUCAGCUGCUUAUAACUUUGUUUACGAUAAAUUCAAGUCCAAACUUAGCACAUAUAAAGCCAACAGACUCUCUCAUGCGGCAAGAUUAACUCUCAUAAAAUCCGUUUUCUCUUCCAUUCCUGUAUAUUACAUGUCCAACAUACUUUUUUCAAAAAAGUUCCUUGCUAAACUAACAACAAUCAUUAGGAACUUUUGGUGGACAGGUAUUCAAGAUGAUCAGACUACUAGAAGCUUGUGCCUUAGGGCAUGGGCUGAUGUAUGUAUUGAGAAGAAAAUUGGUGGUCUUGGUGUUAGAAAUUUGCAGGCAAUCAACCAAGGACUUGUUCUCUCGACGACAUGGAGAUUGGCAAAAGAGCCGCAAAGUCAGCUAGCAUUGAUUCUCAAGGCAAAGUAUCAUCAUGAUACAUCCAUUUGGAGAGCCCGGCCGAACAAACCUAAAUCUGCCUUUUGGUCUGCAAUUCUAAAGGUAAAGCCUCUUCUAAUCUCAGCCACAAUUUGCCAAAUUGUUGAUGGUGCUAGUUCUAUUUGGAGCUCUCCUUGGUUUUCCGGAUGGGAAACUAUUUAUGAUCAUUUUAUCAUUCAGCAGCAAUCUUUUUCUUACCCUGCACAAGUUAAAGAUCUUUGGAUACCGGGUCAAAAGAACUGGAAUGCAAACUUGAUUAAUUCUCUUUUCACUCCUGAAUUGGCUAAUACCAUUCUACAAACUCCUAUUAUUAAGGCAAAUGGUAAGGAUAUGUUGGUUUGGAAACUAACUCCUGCGGGUGAAUUCUCUUCCAAAAGUGCUUACAAGCACUGCUUCAACAAUCUUCAGCUUCCACCAAGGCAAAGGCCCAAAAUUGUCCCUAUGCAGGUCAUUUCCCUUCUUAAUCAGGUGUGUGAGGAUAAGCAAAUGGCACCAAGAGUUUAG
rnacentral:rRNA from 1 species